AGAGUUUGAGUCUGGCUCAGGAUGAACGCUGGCGGCGUGCCUAAUACAUGCAAGUCGAGCGAACGACUUCGGUGGGAAGCGGCGAACGGGUGAGUAACACGUAGGUGAUCUGCCCAUCAGACGGGGACAACGAUUGGAAACGAUCGCUAAUACCGGAUAGGACGAAAGUUUAAAGAUGCUCCCUGGCAUCACUGAUGGAUGAGCCUGCGGCGCAUUAGCUAGUUGGUGGGGUAAAGGCCUACCAAGGCGACGAUGCGUAGCCGACCUGAGAGGGUGAACGGCCACACUGGGACUGAGACACGGCCCAGACUCCUACGGGAGGCAGCAGUAGGGAAUCUUCGGCAAUGGGCGAAAGCCUGACCGAGCAACGCCGCGUGAAUGAAGAAGGCCUUCGGGUUGUAAAAUUCUGUUAUAAGGGAAGAAAGGUGAUAGGAGGAAAUGACUAUCAAUUGACGGUACCUUAUGAGAAAGCCACGGCUAACUACGCG
rnacentral:rRNA from 1 species